rnacentral:rRNA from 1 species
GUAUAAAUAAGCGGAGGAAAAGAAACCAAAAGGGAUUCCCUGAGUAAUGGCGAACGAAAGGGGAUGAGCUCAGCGCUAAGUCUCACCGUCUACUGGCGUGUGAGAGAUGCAGCGUGAAUGUAGCAGUGUAUCCCGGGUGUCGGACAGUGCAAAGUUCCUUUGAAAAGGGCUUUCCCAGAGUGGGUGACAGGCCCAUAGCGCUGUUGUCUUGUACACACGGGCAAACUGUUGCAUGCUAGAGUCAGGUUGCUUGAGAGUGCAGCCUAAAGCAGGU